rnacentral:rRNA from 1 species
AACGCGAAGAACCUUACCUGGGCUCGAACGGCUUCCUAACGCCGGUGGAAACACCGGUAUCCCGCAAGGGAGUGGAGUCGAGGUGCUGCAUGGCUGUCGUCAGCUCGUGUCGUGAGAUGUUGGGUUAAGUCCCGCAACGAGCGCAACCCUUGUCCUGUGUUGCCAUGCCGAAAGGCGGAACUCGCAGGAGACCGCCAGCGAUAAGCUGGAGGAAGGUGGGGAUGACGUCAAGUCCUCAUGGCCUUUAUGUCCAGGGCUACACACGUGCUACAAUGGCCGGUACAAUGCGCUGCUAAGUCGCAAGACGGAGCCAAUCGCAAAAAACCGGUCUCAGUUCGGAUUGCAGGCUGCAACUCGCCUGCAUGAAGCUGGAAUCGCUAGUAAUGGCAGAUCAGAACGCUGCCGUGAAUACGUUCCCGGGCCUUGUACACACCGCUAGUC